rnacentral:rRNA from 1 species
AUUGAACGCUGGCGGAAUGCUAUACACAUGCAAGCCGAACGGUAGAGGGGGCAACCCCUCGAGAGUGGCGAACGGGUGAGUAAUAUAUCGGAACGCGCCCAGUCGUGGGGGUUAAGGGAGCGAAAGAUACGCGAAGACCGCAAACGACCUACGGAUGAAAGCGGGGGAUCGAAAGGCCCCGCGCGACUGUAGCGGACGAUAUCGGAUUAGGUAGUUGGUGGGGUAAAGGCUCACCAAGCCAACGAUCUGUAGCUGGUCUGAGAGGACGACCAGCCACACUGGAACUGAGACACGGUCCAGACUCCUACGGGAGGCAGCAGUGGGGAAUUUUGCACAAUGGGCGCAAGUCUGAUCCAGCCAUUCCGCGUGCAGGAUGAAGGCCCUCGGGUUGUAAACUGCUUUUGUCCGGAACGAAAAGGUUUCCAUUAAUACUGGGAGCUCAUGACGGUACCGUAAGAAUAAGCACCGGCUAACUACGUGCCAGCAGCCGCCGUAA